CAGCUAAAUUAGGGGACCAGUUCCUCCAAGAAUCCUGUUCGUAUUCACUGAAUACGCCAAAUAUAUGUAAUUGUUUAUAUAAAAGUGUCUACUUAUGUUUUUUAAUACUGAAGAGAAGACCAAGUUCAUUUCCUCAGUCUAAUUUGAGCUAAAGAAACUACCAGACAACUUACACAUCAAAUCUCCUUGAUCUAACGACAAGUAGUGUGUAUAUCAGACGAGAUAACAAGUGAACUGAUUGAAAAACUCAAAUCUCCACUAGGGCAUACAUACACGAUAGCAAUAGUCGUGUAAAGCAUGUAGAAAAACCUGGCUCGCUGGACCAAAAAAUAAAACAUGAACCAGCCAUGAAUAACAAUUCCUAAUACACCUGCAACUGUAGUAAUUGGUAGUUUGGUAACAUUUGGUAUUGAACUCCUCAGCAAAUGUCAUAAACUAGCGGGAGAUUUACUCUGCCAUUGCGUUGAAUACUGCAGAAAACGACAUAACAAGACACCAUGCAGAACUCCAAUGAAUAUGUUACAUCCUCAUGUGCGCUCCUCCACGGCCCCUACCGCCAUAGUUAUUAUACCCCCUUCCCCAACCAUAGCCAUAUGCACCACGGUGCCCACCAUUUCCAGGCCCAUAGCCAUAUGCACCACGGUGCCCACCAUGUCCAGGGCCAUAGCCACCAUUUCCAGGCCCAUAGCCAUAUGCACCACGGUGCCCACCAUGUCCAGGGCCAUAGCCACCAUUUCCAGGCCCAUAGCCACCAGGCCCAGGCCCAUAGCCACCAUUUGCAUAAGGCCUUUGUUGAUGGUUACCGAAAGUCU
rnacentral:lncRNA from 1 species